rnacentral:rRNA from 2 species
GAACGGCAGCGCGGGGCAACCUGGCGGCGAGUGGCGAACGGGUGAGUAAUAUAUCGGAACGUACCCAAGAGUGGGGGAUAACGUAGCGAAAGUUACGCUAAUACCGCAUACGAUCUAAGGAUGAAAGCAGGGGACCGCAAGGCCUUGUGCUCCUGGAGCGGCCGAUAUCUGAUUAGCUAGUUGGUGAGGUAAAGGCUCACCAAGGCGACGAUCAGUAGCUGGUCUGAGAGGACGACCAGCCACACUGGAACUGAGACACGGUCCAGACUCCUACGGGAGGCAGCAGUGGGGAAUUUUGGACAAUGGGCGCAAGCCUGAUCCAGCAAUGCCGCGUGAGUGAAGAAGGCCUUCGGGUUGUAAAGCUCUUUUGUCAGGGAAGAAACGGCAGUGGCUAAUAUCCAUUGCUAAUGACGGUACCUGAAGAAUAAGCACCGGCUAACUACGUGCCAGCAGCCGCGGUAAUACGUAGGGUGCAAGCGUUAAUCGGAAUUACUGGGCGUAAAGCGUGCGCAGGCGGUUUUGUAAGUCUGUCGUGAAAGCCCCGGGCUCAACCUGGGAAUUGCGAUGGAGACUGCAAGGCUUGAAUCUGGCAGAGGGGGGUAGAAUUCCACGUGUAGCAGUGAAAUGCGUAGAGAUGUGGAGGAACACCGAUGGCGAAGGCAGCCCCCUGGGUCAAGAUUGACGCUCAUGCACGAAAGCGUGGGGAG